AUUUGCCAUUUUUAAAAUUCAAACCCAUGCAUGUCAUUUAGCCUGAAAACAUAAUCAAAACUUGAAAUUUGAAUUUAAUCAAUGUUGGGAAAAAGGGGUUGAUUAAUGAAGGGAAGCGGUGCCUGUUUAAUUAGCAUGAAUGGGCAGGAUUAUUUGAUGAAUCUACUACAUUUCUGAGUUUCUUAUGGCUCAAGCUCGCAAUUAUUUUAUUUAGCACAGAUCGUUAAGACGGUUAUUAUCCUGUGACAUAAUCAUCCCUGCUGCUAUGGAACUGCAAGUGAGAAGUUUACACACUCCUUGUUAACGAUGCCUAGAGUUUACUAUCAGCAUGGAUCAUAUGCUAGGUGGUUAGAGUUCUCCCAUUAUAAUGCCUAGUUAAAAUGCAGGAUAGUCUUCAUGAUUUAGAUUUAAAAACUUAGUUUCAAUGAUUUGGGAAAACUAAGUUGAGCAGGGACUGUCAUUGAGAAGAGGGUACAUGUCUUCACUUAGAAAAAUCUGGAGAGAUUGAGAGCAUAUCUUAAGGCAUGCGAUUUUUGCCUGAACACCAAGUUAAAGUUCUCAUUGGGAGGCCUGUGCGAAAAUAUGAUCUCAUGUGACUGAUGAUAGCAAAUAUACGACAGAGUUUGGUUCCCAAUGGCCACGCUAUGUUCUAAAAUUUUUGAUUCUAUGCAUUAAAGUUUGAGUUAUUAGACCAUUGAAGCGUUGGUAAUUCAAGAAGUAUCUGUAUGGGAGCUACUCUGUCUGUCGGUUCUCGGUUCUCCUGUUAGUUCUGCAGGUCUUUAUGGAGAUUGAGAAAAAGGGAAAUGGGCUUGAUCGAGUGCCUGCUAGAUUCAAAAAUUGGCCAAAGAACUGGUAUAGGGUCAUGCGAAGUGCAUUACUAGAUUAUCUGCUAAUCACAAAAUCAUAGGUACGUUGAGUUCCAUACACAUAUUCUUCUGGCCAUGGCAGUUCUUGCUAUGAAUUAAUGACAACUCACACAUUUUGAAUUCCAAAGCAAAGUUGGGAACAGAUUGAUUAGUGUAUUUGUAGAUAAAAAUAUGUAUCUUUAGACAGUUCUUUCUAAUCCUUUUUAUUUGAUCUCUCGACUAUUCAUUUUCUCUGUAAACAAAGCAAGGCAUCCAGCCUGUUUAAUUUCGCUAUAAUUUCUACAUGUGCUUGAUAUUGUAUUGA